rnacentral:lncRNA from 1 species
AAAACCGUGAGAACAUUGAUCCCUUUAGAACACCUGUUAUGCAAUGUUAUGCUAUGCAAUGUAUGUAAUGUUUUCAAGGACUUUUGGAAUUCAACUUUACGUAAACUACCAAAAAGGAAACUUUUUUUUUUUUUUUUUUUUUUUUUUUACGAAAUAGAGAAAAGUUAAAUCCCUAAGUCUCGAAAUGGUUAGUACAAUGCCAUGAUGUUAUGAUGUUAUGAUGU